AGAGUUUGAUCAUGGCUCAGGAUGAACGCUGGCGGCGUGCCUAACACAUGCAAGUCGAGCGGGGUAAUAGCAAUAUUAUCUAGCGGCGGACGGGUGAGUAACGCGUGAGCAACCUACCUUGUACUGGGGGAUAACGUCGGGAAACCGGCGCUAAUACCGCAUAACACUACGAUAUCACAUGGUAAUGUAGUCAAAACUCCGGUGGUACAAGAUGGGCUCGCGUCCAAUUAGCUAGUUGGUGAGGUAAUGGCCCACCAAGGCGACGAUUGGUAGCCGAACUGAGAGGUUGAUCGGCCACAUUGGGACUGAGACACGGCCCAGACUCCUACGGGAGGCAGCAGUGGGGAAUAUUGCGCAAUGGAGGAAACUCUGACGCAGCAACGACGCGUGAAGGAUGAAGGCUUUCGGGUUGUAAACUUCUUUGAUCGGGGAAGAAAAUGACGGUACCCGAGGAACAAGCCACGGCUAACUACGUGCCAGCAGCCGCGGUAAUACGUAGGUGGCAAGCGUUAUCCGGAAUUACUGGGCGUAAAGGGCGUGUAGGCGGGGGAACAAGUCAGAUGUGAAAUCCCAGGGCUUAACUCUGGAGCUGCAUCUGAAACUGUUCCCCUUGAGUACUGGAGAGGAAAGUGGAAUUCCAAGUGUAGCGGUGAAAUGCGUAGAGAUUUGGAGGAACA
rnacentral:rRNA from 1 species